rnacentral:rRNA from 1 species
CCUACGGGAGGCAGCAGUGAGGAAUAUUGGUCAAUGGACGAGAGUCUGAACCAGCCAAGUAGCGUGAAGGAUGACUGCCCUAUGGGUUGUAAACUUCUUUUAUAUGGGAAUAAAACGUUCCACGUGUGGGAUUUUGUAUGUACCAUAAGAAUAAGGAUCGGCUAACUCCGUGCCAGCAGCCGCGGUAAUACGGAGGAUCCGAGCGUUAUCCGGAUUUAUUGGGUGUAAAGGGAGCGUAGGUGGAUUGUUAAGUCAGUUGUGAAAGUUUGCGGCUCAACCGUAAAAUUGCAGUUGAAACUGGCAGUCUUGAGUACAGUAGAGGUAGGCGGAAUUCGUGGUGUAGCGGUGAAAUGCUUAGAUAUCACGAAGAACUCCGAUUGCGAAGGCAGUUCACUGGACUGCAACUGACACUGAGGCGCGAAAGUGUGGGUAUCAAACAGGAUUAGAUACCCUGGUAGUC